GCGUGAGUGAUGAAGGCCUUCGGGUUGUAAAGCUCUUUCGCCCACGACGAUGAUGACGGUAGUGGGAGAAGAAGCCCCGGCUAACUUCGUGCCAGCAGCCGCGGUAAUACGAAGGGGGCUAGCGUUGUUCGGAAUGACUGGGCGUAAAGGGCGCGUAGGCGGCGUAUCAAGUCGGGCGUGAAAGCCCCGGGCUCAACCUGGGAACUGCGUUCGAGACUGGUAUGCUAGAGUUCGGGAGAGGAGAGUGGAAUUCCCAGUGUAGAGGUGAAAUUCGU
rnacentral:rRNA from 1 species